CCGGGGACGGUGGCGCCGGGCUGGGAGGCGCGGGGCUAGGCGGCUCUGGGCUGGGAGGUGCAGGGCUUGGAGGCUCGGGGCUGGGCGGCGCAGGUGGCGUCGGGCUGGGCGGCUCCGGGCUGGGCGGCGCAGGUGGCGCGGGGCUUGGAGGCUCGGGGCUGGGAGGCACAGGUGGCGUGGGGCUGGGUGGCUCAGGUGACGGAGGCGCCGGGCUUGGAGGCUCGGGGCUGGGCGGCGCAGGUGGCGCGGGGCUGGGUGGCUCCGGCGACGGAGGUGCCGGGCUGGGUGGCUCCGGGCUGGGUGGCUCAGGCGAUGGUGGCGCAGGGCUAGGAGGCGCUGGGCUCGGCGGCUCGGGGCUGGGAGGCUCGGGGCUCGGCGGCGCAGGUGGCGCGGGGCUGGGCGGCUCCGGGCUGGGCGGCUCCGGGCUGGGCGGCUCCGGGCUGGG
rnacentral:lncRNA from 1 species